GGAGGGAGGGGUGACUAGGGACAGAGUGAGGGAGGGAGAAGGUGAGUAGGGACAGAGUGAGGGGGGGAGGGGGUGACACUCUGUCCCUACUCACCCCCUGCCUCUCUCUGUCCCUAGUCACCCCAUCCCUCACUCACUCUGCCACUAGUCUCCCCCUUCCUCAC